AGAGAGUUCAAGAGUACGUGAACCGUUAGGGGUAAACCUGAGAAACCCGAAAGGUCGAAGGGAGAAAUUCAUUCGCGUUUCGAGGCGGGCGCGGGGCGGACGCGAGACGGGAAACGUUCGCGUUUUUCGCUCCUUUCGUCUCUCGAUCUCGUCGCGAACGCGUGCACUUUUCUCCUGGUAGGACGUCGCGAUCCGUCGGGUGUCGGUCUACGGCUCGCGGUGGAGCCCGCCCGUCGUCUCGUACGUACGGACGGACCCGCUUGUUCCGGCCGACUCGCUCGACGGUAUACGAACGGUCCGAGGCCGCUCGUUUAGGAGCGUCCGACUCGUCGCAAGCGCGCCAGAUGCGUAGGCACGCGGACCUAGUGCCGCGUCCGACCUCUGGUGACUGUUGGCGGCGAAGUUCUCGGACAGACCUCGUCGGACCGAUCGGCGACGCUAUAGCUUUGGGUACUUUCAGGACCCGUCUUGAAACACGGACAAAGGAGUCUA
rnacentral:rRNA from 1 species